rnacentral:misc_RNA from 1 species
GUGAAUCAUCGAAUUUUUGAACGCAAAUUGCACUCCCCGGUUUUCCGGGAGGGUAUGCCUGUUUGCGGGUCAGCCUAAACAAAAUCGACAUUGUUGCUGGUUUAUGGUGACUUUCGUCGGAGCUGAGUUAUCUUAGCUCUCGGUUUAAGCGACUUAAAGAUUUUUUUUUACUAUUCUAAGAAUGUUUCUAAGAUUUAUCUUGUACGUUUAAGCUAUCGAUUGUCUUAUUAGC